GACAAAUAUGAGGGCGGGCUGGACCUCUCGGGGUUACAGCCUUGCUGAAUUAUUCACCCUUGUCUUUUGCGUACUUCUUGUUUCCUUGGUGGGUUCGCCCACCACUAGGACAAACAUAAACCUUUUGUAAUUGCAAUCAGCGUCAGUAACAAAUUAAUAAUUACAACUUUCAACAACGGAUCUCUUGGUUCUGGCAUCGAUGAAGAACGCAGCGAAAUGCGAUAAGUAGUGUGAAUUGCAGAAUUCAGUGAAUCAUCGAAUCUUUGAACGCACAUUGCGCCCUUUGGUAUUCCAAAGGGCAUGCCUGUUCGAGCGUCAUUUGUACCCUCAAGCUUUGCUUGGUGUUGGGCGUCUUGUCUCUAGCUUUGCUGGAGACUCGCCUUAAAGUAAUUGGCAGCCGGCCUACUGGUUUCGGAGCGCAGCACAAGUCGCACUCUCUAUCAGCAAAGGUCUAGCAUCCAUUAAGCCUUUUUUUCAACUUUUGACCUCGGAUCAGGUAGGGAUACCCGCUGAACUUAAGCAUAUCAAUAAGCCG
rnacentral:rRNA from 1 species